rnacentral:lncRNA from 1 species
UUCAAGACUUCACUUGACACCUAGCAAUGCUACAUCUUCAGUUCGUCUGUACCACUCACUACAGGUGAGUUCACCCCUUCAUNCUUAAUCAAUGGUUUAAAUGUUUUUAAAUGCUUUAUGGGGGGGAUACAAGUUAAAUACUUAUAGUGAUUACAUCAAUCACAUGUGAUUAAUAACUACAAAACCAAUGAUUUUCUUACUGUUCAAACUGUUUAUCAAACUGUUUUGCUUCAAACUGUUUUACAAAUUCUUAUACUUAUCAAAUACGUUUACUUAAGAUCUGUUAUACUUAUUAUCAAAUGCAUGCCUAUGUAUGUAUAGUUAUAUAAGCAUUGUUUAAAAGGCUUAGGAAGGUCAGCUCGCUUUAUUUCCUUUUCCCCGUUAGGAUGUGGUCUGGUAAGGUAUCGGGUAUCCGUCCGAAGGUCGUUUAAAUAUUAGUUAUAUAUCAUGUGUACAUAUAUAGUCAUAAAGGUUCUUCCAGUCCAUUCAAUACCCUUGGGUAGCAAGGGUAUACUUCCAUGUUCAUACGUACCAGUUACAUCACUAGUAAGUUACCAUAGGGGUAGCACAAGAGGAUACUAAUACCAUUACUAGAACAAUGAAACAUAUAAUGAGUCAGAUCAUUCAUGAGUCCAUACAUUACUAUACAUGCUAGAUAGAGAGAGAACAUACAUUACAACUAGUACACACAGAACAUUACAGUACAUACAGGCUAGACAGAGAAAGAGUACACUUCCAAUUAGCACAUUCAUUGCAUAUACAUUCAUGUAGUUAUGUGAACCAUUGAGCGGGUCAUGGCACUUCCUGCAUGACCGCUUUUCUAUCUCAAAUCUCCUUAAUUGGGGAGCGUAUGAGUUUACGUAUAGAUCUAUACUAAUUGACUAUCCUACACCUUGCUGCUCGCUACAGUGGGACUUGCAAGUCUACGGGUGCGAAAUGUCAUUUCUUACGGCGUCUUACGUCGUCGUUUUACUAGAGUCGGUAGCAGGAUACAGGUCGAUCACAUGUUACUUUGAACACCUAUUGUUUUAAGGUAGUUAGUACAGUGAUAGUCACUUAUUACAAAUACUACGGUACUAUAAUAUGUUUCCCAUUACAUUCACUUCGUGAAUAUUCACACGAUGCACGGUAAUGUAAAAAAACUAUAUUCUUGGUUAAUGAUAGUCAGAAUUGGGAAGACACAUACUCUAACAAGAGACACACGCACAGACACUACAUGCCUUGGUAGAAGGCUACAGUUAGUAGUAAACAUAGGGUUUUCUAGGAGAGUUCAAACACUUUACAAAACAUCUUACGGAACAUCUUACAAAUGCUUUCAUACAAACACAGACAUUAAUAUACUUAUGAUCUCACCAGCUUUAAGCUGAUACUCGCUUUUUAAAUAACUUGUAUUCUCAGGUCACCAAUAGACAGGUAUAGGUGCCAGGCUUUUGAGAAGAUGGAGUUCGUUCAAGACUCGUCUUUUAUUUUGAUAUGUAUAUUUUUGGUGUCUAUAACUUUGACAGAACAUACAUGUAUGAAAUUAUAUUAUUAAUUCAAUGGAUGAUGUUGUUUCUUGUUUACUACUAUUCAUUCUUGUGAUACUGUACAUGACGUCCUCUGCCCCAAAACGUUUCCGCCAUUCAUGGUUUUGGGGUGUGACAGAUUAGUAUCAGAGCAUUGUUUAUAGUGAAUAGAGUAUAUCAACCCAUAAAAGAUAUACUAACUAUAAAUACAUUGGGAUUAAAAUACUCUGACCAAGAGUUUAUACUUUAAAUAUUUAAAAUAUUUAAUUAAGUAUACGUGCCUGCAUUCAUACUAAAAUCAAUGUCACUAAGACUGUACAAAAGUAUUACGAUUGUUGGGCAACACAAUUAGACUUAGAGACAUAUGGUCAAAACUGGGAAGAUAUAGCCUGAUCAACUAUAUUAUCCGAGGGUUGACUAGCAUGUGCCUAAGUGUGGUUGUGAGGUUGCAACAAGUCUAAAAACUUACCCACAAUACCACAAUGAGAACAAUAGAACCUAAACAUAAAAUACUAUAUGAGUAUUUUUCAUUAUUAUAAGUUACUUAUGUGCUACAUUCUUAUACCUCCCUUAUCGCGUAGAUUUAAUGGUUGGAUUCCACAUUCCCAGAGACCCGUACUAUCCCAACCAUGGCAAUGCAGGAUGGCUAGAAGAUGAACCUGAAGAUGAUCACCCAAUUCCUUUGGAUGAUCAUGAAGUUGAAGGCUUUUCUGAUGGUUCUGACUCAGAGCUAGAAGUCAACAACCUGCCCCCAGCUGAUCAAAACCCUGACCCUCGUCCAGCAUUUCAAGGAUCCACACCUCUGUGGGCAAUAAACUUGAAUACAUGGAGCCAUGAACAGGGUCAACCCAUUCCCUACAAUGGAGAUAAAAGUUUCUACAACCUCACUGAUGAAGGUUAUGCUGACAGAGUCCUACCCAUCAUGGUUCGUAGGAUUUCUCGGAACACGAUACUGGGUCAAUCAUCUAUCAAUUGAGUCUUGGAGAUUGACGCCAAGACUGGUGUUAACACUGUCCCCAUUCGCCAACUAGAGUCUGCUCAUGAAAGGGAUCUGGUUCACAAUGCAGCUCUUCAGAGGGAAGUCACUGAAACGCGAGCUGAAGUCAGAGAACUUCGAGCUCAACAAGCAAGGGCUGAUAGGCAUAUGAGGGAUAUAGAACAUCUCCUGUUGGGAUCAAGAACUCACUCUGGUAGCUCUCAUCUCCGAUAGAUUCUCGUCAACUUCUCUCUUUUGGAUAUAACCUAGUUAUGUACAACUCUGGUCUAAUUCUCUAUCUUUGUAAAUCAUAGGCCUGUUAGGUCUUGGUUAGGUUGUAAUUCUGUCAAAAUUUUCCCAUUUUGGUUGAUGUAAGGCCUAUUUCUGUUGGCCGUUUUUCCCAAACUUGUUACAUCUGUAAUUCCAGUAAUAUUGACAGGUACCUAAUCUUAUGAAUUAUUAUCCAAAUGUUAGCAUCUAUUAGUUCUGGAUUUCCAUUCAAUCGUAUCAUUUGGGCUUUGAAGAGUUAGUCCAUGAGUCAUUCUCAUCAAUCCUUCCAUUGAAAUCUUAUCAAUGUUUUCAUCUUCAUAAACUAUAGAUCAAAGAUGCCGCCUCGCAGAAAUCCAUGGAGAAACCUGAAUAACGAAACACCACCUCCUCAACCACCUACUCCUCAGUUCGACACGACAGCCUUAAAUGCUGCUAUAGCUGCAUCGGUGGCUAUAGCCAUGGCUCAGUAUCAUUCAUCUGGUUCCACCGGAGGAGGAACCCUUGUUCAGUCUAUCCAGGUUGAAGCUCAUGUGCGCUCGAGAGAGUGCUCCUAUAAGGACUUCACGGACUUCAAGCCAUUGUCCUUCAAGGGGACUGGCGGAGUCAUUGCCCUCUCGCAAUGGUUCGAGAAAACCAAAUCGGAUUUUGAAAUCUGCUCCUAUUCAAAGGAGAGCAAGGUCAAGUACGUUGCUUGCACCUUCGAAACUAAAGCCCUAACAUGCUGGAAUGGCCAUGUUAAUUCGCUAUCUCUAAUAGUGGCUAAUGCGAUGGGCUGCGAAAUUUUGAAAGACCUCAUGAUCGAGGAGUACUGCCCGAGGGGCGAGAUCCAAAAGCUAGAGGAAGAGCUAUGGAGCCUAACAAUAAAGGGCUCCAACGUAGUCACCUAUACCGUCAGGUUCUGUGAAAUGGUGGCCCUCUGUCCCAACAUGAUUCCUUCAGAGGGAAAGAAGAUCGAGAGAUACUUAUGGGGACUGGUGCCCCCAUACCAGGGAAAUGUUUUGGCAUCACACCCCACUACUUUUGAUAGUGCCAAGCGAUUGGCACAGCGACUCAUAGACCAUGGGGUUCAUACCCCAUCCGCAACAACUACCCUGGCCAUCUCAAAACCUGCAAGAACCCCUGACUCUAAGCGGAAGUUUUGGGAUGACAAGAAGAAGACUAAGGCUGCCAAGAAGAGGCAGGUCGUGGCAGUGCAUGCUGUGAUAGCACCUGUCGUUGCUGCUCCGGUAAAGCAGUACGAUGGAAGUUUGCGUAAGUGCAACAAGUGCAACUUCCAUCACGUCGGCACCUGCCGGGUGAGGCAGUGUCUGAACUGCAACGGGAAGGGCACACAGCCUGUUUCUGUAAAGCUCCGGCGAAGCCAAUCAACCAAGCCCUCGGUGCUGGAGUGGGCCAAAAUUGCUACGGAUGUGGAGAGGUAGGCCACUUCAAGAGAAACUACCCGAAGGCAGGGUUUGCCGAUGGAGCGGCAAGAGUUCUGGCCAUAGGCCAUGAGGAAGCGGUUGUCGACCCCACAGUGGUCAUUGGUACGUUCCUCCUCGAUAACUCUUAUGCAUGCAUUCUAUUUGAUAGUGGAGCGGAGAGGAGUUUCGUGAACCAAAAAUUUGUUCAUUUACUAAAGCCCAAAUCACGAGCACUUAAUGAAACGUUCAAUGUAGAAUUGGCUAAUGGAAAGGCAGAGAGCACUAGUAGUAUAUUCAUAGGGUGUACCCUAACUUUAGAUAGCCAUUCAUUUUCUAUCGAUCUCAUGUCGGUCUCAAUUCAAAGUUUCAACGUCAUUAUCGGCAUGGAUUAGUUGAGUUUUCAUCGUGCUGAUAUCAUGUGUUACGAAAAGGUUGUUCGCCUUAAUCUGCUGUCUGGCAAAACCAUAGUAGUUUAUGGUGACAAACCCGGAACGAACCUUCGUAUCAUCUCGAGCAUCCAAGCUCAUAAAUUCUUGCGAAAGGAAUGUGGUGCAUUACUUGCUCAUGUGGUCGAUGUGAACAAAGAAACAAAGGACAUUCAAGAAAAUUCCAGUAGUACGCGAAUUUCCCGACAUCUUUCCAAAAGAACUCCUAGGAUUACCUCCGCAACGUCAAGUCGAGUUCCGAAUCGACUUAGUUCCAGGGGCUACCCCCAUAGCCAAAUCACCGUAUCGUCUAGCACCUGCAGAGAUGCAAGAACUGUCCGGUCAACUUAACGAACUGCUCAGGAAGGGCUUUAUAAGACCAAGUUUCUCACCCUAGGGAGCUCUAGUUUUGUUCAUCAAGAAGAAAGACGGAUCGUUUCGUACGUGCAUCGACUACAGGGAGCUCAACAAGCUGACGGUCAAAAAUCGUUAUCCGUUGCCUCGUAUCGACGAUUUAUUUGACCAACUUCAAGGUGCGAACUUCUUUUCAAAAAUCGACUUAAGAUCCGGAUAUCACCAACUACGGGUGCUAGGGGAGGAUGUUCCCAAGACAGCCGUCCGAACUCGUUAUGGGCACUACGAAUUCGUAGUGAUGUCGUUCGGAUUGACAAACGCACCCGUUGUAUUCAUGGACUUAAUGAAUAGGGUGUAUCAUCCUUACUUGGAUCAGUUUGUCAUCGUCUUCAUCGAUGACAAACUUAUCUACUCUCAUAGUAAGGAGGAGCAUAGUCAACAUCUGCGACAAGUCCUCGAAACAUUACAUUCGGAGAAGCUCUACGCGAAGUUCUCAAAAUGCGAAUUUUGGAUUCGACGAGUCGAAUUCUUAGGGCACGUGGUUAGCGAAGAGGGAAUACACGUGGACCCUUCCAAAAUCAAGGCCAUUGAGAACUGGUCAGCACUGAAGAUGCCUACAGAAAUUUGUCAAUUUCUAGGCCUCACUGGCUACUAUUGUAGGUUCAUUCAGAACUUUUCCCGCAUAGCGAAACCACUUAUAGCACUGACCCAGAAGGGUGUGGCCUUUGAUUAGGAAGAGAACCAGGAGAGAGCGUUUCAAACGCUCAAACGAGCCUUGUGCACUGCACCAAUACUAUCCCUUCCUGAAGGAAUAGAAGACUUCGUUGUCUAUUGUGAUGCUUCAAAUCAAGGACUCGGAUGUGUUCCGAUGCAGUGAGGUAAGGUCAUCGCCUAUGCCUCGAGAUAGCUAAAGACACAUGAGGUCAACUAAACGACCCACGAUCUUGAACUAGGAACAGUUGUGUUUGCUCUGAAGAUCUGGAGACAUUACUUGUACGGAAUGAAAAGCACUAUCUUAACAGACCACAAGAGCUUACAACACAUAUUCGACCAGAAGGAGCUCAACAUGAGACAACGACGGUGGGUCGAGCUGCUCAGUGAUUACGAAUGCGAAAUUUGUUAUCAUCCGGGCAAAGCCAACGUAGUAGCUAUCGCCCUUAGUCGGAAGGAAUAUUCUGGUCGUAGAGUCAAAUCAUUAACUAUGACUAUCCAUUCACACUUGUCCACACAAAUUAAGGUAACUCAGCUCGACGCUUUGAAGCCUGAAAAUGUGGCAGGUGAAUCCCUAAGAGGGAUGGAUAAGAACUUGGAGGUUAAGGGUGGCGGAUCUUAUUAUUUCAUGGAUCGGAUGUGGAACCCAAAACUAGGUGGUUUUAGAGACUUGGUCAUGAACGAGGCGCACAACACUUGUUAUUUCAUGCACCCGGGUUCAGAUAAGAUGUAUCUGGAUCUCAAAAAGUUAUACUGGUGGCCUAACUUGAAAGUAGAGAUUGUUACCUUCGUGAGUAAAUGCCUAACUUGCGCAAAGGUCAAGGUCGAAUACCAGAAACCCUCCAGUCUAUUACAACAGCCCGAGAUACCGGAAUGGAAGUGGGAGCGGAUAACUAUGGAUUUCAUAACCAAGUUUCCCAAGACAACGGGUGGACUUAAUAACAUAUGGGUCAUCGUCGACAGAUUGACCAAGUCUGCACGCUUCCUGUCGAUCAAAGAAACAGAAAAGAUGGAGAAGCUUACCAGAUCUUACAUUAGGGAGAUUGUAAGACUGCAUGGUGUUCCUUUAUCCAUUAUCUCGGAUAGAGAUAGUAGAUUCACUUCGAGGUUCUGGCAGUCGUUACAAAGUUCCUUAGGAACUAGGCUGGACAUGAGUACAACGUACCAUCCACAGACCGACGGGCAAAGUGAGAGAACUAUCCAAACCUUGGAAGAUAUGUUGCGAGACUAUGUGAUAGACUUCGGGAAAACAUGGGAUACCCAUUUACCCCUUGUUGAAUUUUCCUACAACAAUAGUUAUCACACGAGCAUAAAGGCUGCUCCAUUCGAGGCCCUCUAUGGCUGAAAUGCAGAUGCCCUCUUUGCUAGGCUGAGGUGGGUGAUACCUAGUUAGCUAAAGGACGAGUUCCUGAAAGCACUCUCAUAGGUCCUGAGAUCAUACGGGAAACGACGAAGAAGAUCGUUCAGAUCCAUGAACGAUUGAAAGCCUCCAGAGCCCGACAGAAAAGCUACGCUGAUAAACGUAGGAAGCUGUUGGAAUUUUAGGUGGGUGACCGUGUUCUAUUGAAGGUCUUACCCUGGAAGGGCUUGAUGCGCUUCGGAAAGCGUGGAAAGCUAAAUCCAAGGUACAUUAGGCCUUUCGAGAUUCUCGCAAGAAUCGGCCCUGUAGCUUACAAACAUAACUUACCGCGCGAACUCAGUAACAUACAUUCUACCUUCCAUGUAUCAAACUUGAAAAAGUAUCUAUCCGACGAGACUCUUGUUAUUCCACUCGACGAGAUCAAGAUCAACAAGAGCCUCAACAUCGUGGAGGAACCAGUAGAGAUCAUGGACCGAGAGGUCAAGCAAACGAAACAAAGCCGCAUCCCGAUUGUGAAGGUUCGCUGGAACGCCAAGCGAGGAACAGAAUUCACUUGGGAGCGUGAGGAUCAGAUGAAACUGAAAUAUCCUUAUCUUUUUACUUAGUUAUUUUUAACUACUUUAUUUGCUUAGACUUUAAUUUCGGGAUGAAAUUCCCUUUAACAGGGGGAUGAUGUGACAACCUAAAAUCUUCAUUCGGUAAAACCCUAAAGUCAAUCAUUUCAAAUUAUAAGUCAAGUUCACUUUUAUUUGUUUUUAGAAAAUUGAAACUUCGUUUGAUUAUUUUAAUAAUUAAUCUUUAAACAAACGGGUGAAAGAAUGUAAAGCCUCGAGAUUGAAAUUUCAAAACCACGAAUACCAUGUAGCUUAGAAGUUCACGACCAAACUUUUAUGUUUAGGCCGUAAACUACCACAAAAACCGUAAACUCAUGCUUCAGCAUAAGUUUACUCCCCAAAGUACCUCACUUCUCAUUUUCACCAUAAAGAGUAAACCCCAAACACUCUCAACUAUCAUCCCGAUUUUCACCCGAUUUCCUGAAAACGUGAGUAUUUCUCGACUUGAUUAGUUGAUGUAUCAUAACUACUAGUGAUUAUACAUCUUUUCAUCCAUCCAUUUUUGUGUUUUGAUUAGAUUUCCAAAACACCAAGAACACACACUAGUGUUCUUGGACUUUUAGUUCAUUACAAGCUUCCACAAAGUAAGUACUUCUAUCCUAGAGUCUUUUAAAGCUUGCUAUACAUAUUAAUAUCAAGGAAAUGUCCCAAGAACACCAAGAACAAGGUGUUUACGGUUUUGGGAGGCUCCCAAAACCGUAAACAGCAAGUAAGGUGCCAAAGGGUGCCUUAGGGUGCCUAGAUGCUUCACAAUGCCUUAGGGACUUGUCUAGAUCCUUCCUUGAUGAUUUUAUCACACAAAAAGCACAAUAAUCACUCAUUUAUAUGUGUUUACGAUUUGGGGAUCCUCCAAAACCAUAAACACCCCAAAGUGGGUAUAAAUGGCCCAUACUCCUUCCUUUUGCCUAGAAUCUAACGUAGGCUAUUGAAGUGUUUUGAACUUGAAAACAUCAUAAAACCAUGUUCCAUAGGAUUUUACAGCAGUAAGCUCAUGGAGAAAUAGUCCAUGGACCGUAAAAUCCAUUUAGGAAAGUAUUGAUGCCACAAAACACUUCCUAAGGCUUAAACAUGAAGUAGGAAUGCUUGGAUUAGCUUAGAAGGCUUCAAAAACCAAAUGGUCACAAAGAGGUUGAGCUUACGACUGUAAACCCAAGGGUUUACAACCAUAAACCCUUUUGGUUAAGACCUCAAAACUGUAAACUCUCUAAUGGAGUGUUCCUUGAACCCCAAGCACACUAACCCUUCGCUACAACAGUUAGAUGCAAUCCUUAAGACUUAUAACACUUGUAUAAGGUGUUUAGCAUGUCCUUCAGUGUCUUGACUUUGUUUAUUAGUUGUUUAAAGACUAAUUGGAUACAUAUAUGUGAUAUUAUAUGUUAACUAGGAACAUAGAGUGUGUUCAAGACUUCGCUUGACACCUAGCAAUCAUACAUCUUCAGUUCAUCCGUACCACUCACUACAGGUGAGUUCAUACCCCUUAAUCAAUGGUUUAAAUGUUUUUAAAUGCUUUAUGGGGGAAUACAAGUUAAAUACUUAUAGUUAUUACAUAAAUCACAUGUGAUUAAUAACUACAAAACCAGUGAUUUUUUACUAUUCAAACAGUUUUGCUUUAAACUAUUUUAC